rnacentral:tRNA from 1 species
UCGGACUGUAGCGUAGUCCGGUAGCGUAUCCCGACUUAGGUCGGGAGGGUCCUGGGUUCAAAUCCCAGAUGAA